rnacentral:tRNA from 1 species
CGUCCUGUGGUCUAAUGGUAAGGCUCGCGCUUGAUAGGCGUACCGAUGGGAGUUCAAGUCUCCCCAGGACAACCA